UUGAAAUAGCACUGCAGUGAGCACAAUUUGUUGUUAUUUAAUACCGAAGUAAUUAACAAUGUUAAAAAGUUUCGAAUUUAUAACGGGACAUAAAAUAUUUUAGUUAGAACAGAGCAAAAUAUUUCUCAAUUUUCAUAUGUUCCGCAGCAAAAAACGCAAUUUACUUUGUUGAAACAACAUUGCGAUGGCCAUUUUGCUAUAGCAGUUUUGGUCCGAUUCAUUCAUAAAGAACCUUACAAUAUGAGAAUUUCGGAUUCAUUAUGUGAAUAAAAAAGAAAUUGAAAGCAAGAAAUAAAGAGAUAAACGGUGGAUGGUUUCAUUGUUUUUCCAUAACAAAACAAAA